rnacentral:rRNA from 1 species
UACAGAGGUCCCAAGCGUUGUUCGGAUUCACUGGGCGUCAAGGGUGCGUAGGCGGUCGGGUAAGUCUGAUGUGAAAUCUCACAGCUUAACUGUGAAACUGCAUUGGAUACUAUCCGGCUCGAGGAAUGGAGGGGAGACUGGAAUACUUGGUGUAGCAGUGAAAUGCGUAGAUAUCAAGUGGAACACCAGUGGCGAAGGCGAGUCUCUGGACAUUUCCUGACGCUGAGGCACGAAAGCCAGGGGAGCAAACGGG